UGGUGGGUAGUUUGACUGGGGCGGUCUCCUCCUAAAGAGUAACGGAGGAGCACGAAGGUUGGCUAAUCCUGGUCGGACAUCAGGAGGUUAGUGCAAUGGCAUAAGCCAGCUUGACUGCGAGCGUGACGGCGCGAGCAGGUGCGAAAGCAGGUCAUAGUGAUCCGGUGGUUCUGAAUGGAAGGGCCAUCGCUCAACGGAUAAAAGGUACUCCGGGGAUAACAGGCUGAUACCGCCCAAGAGUUCAUAUCGACGGCGGUGUUUGGCACCUCGAUGUCGGCUCAUCACAUCCUGGGGCUGAAGUAGGUCCCAAGGGUAUGGCUGUUCGCCAUUUAAAGUGGUACGCGAGCUGGGUUUAGAACGUCGUGAGACAGUUCGGUCCCUAUCUGCCGUGGGCGCUGGAGAACUGAGGGGGGCUGCUCCUAGUACGAGAGGACCGGAGUGGACGCAUCACUGGUGUUCGGGUUGUCAUGCCAAUGGCACUGCCCGGUAGCUAAAUGCGGAAGAGAUAAGUGCUGAAAGCAUCUAAGCACGAAACUUGCCCCGAGAUGAGUUCUCCCUGAGACUUAGAGUCUCCUGAAGGAACGUUGAAGACGACGACGUUGAUAGGCCGGGUGUGUAAGCGCAGCGAUGCGUUGAGCUAACCGGUACUAAUGAACCGUGAGGCUUAACCUUACAACGCCGA
rnacentral:rRNA from 2 species